rnacentral:RNase_P_RNA from 1 species
CCAGUUGGUCGGAUGGCCGCUCUGUAUAUCGCGAAAGCUCUGCAGGGAGGAAAGUCCGGGCUCCACAGAAUCACGGUGCCGGAUAAUUUCCGGCGAGGGUGACCUUAGGGAAAGUGCCACAGAAAAGAUACCGCCUAAAAGUAGUAAUUUGUUAAUAACUGUUACAAAUGCUUAGGGUAAGGGUGAAAAGGUGGGGUAAGAGCCCACCGCGGGCCCUGGUAACAGGCCUGGCAUGGUAAACCCCACCGGGAGCAAAACCGAAUAGGAAUGGCGCGGCUUUGAGAUUCGUCUUGAGCCAGUUUGUUUCUGAACCAGCCAUUCGGGUAGGUUGCACGAGGCGUCUGGUAACAGGCSYCCCAGAUGAAUGGCCAUCGCGCAUGUKCGGCAUUUAUGCCGCGCGUGUGAUACAAAACCCGGCUUACAGACCAACUGGUAUU